AGCGAACGCUGGCGGCAGGCCUAACACAUGCAAGUCGAACGAACUCUUCGGAGUUAGUGGCGGACGGGUGCGUAACACGUGGGAACGUGCCUUUAGGUUCGGAAUAACUCAGGGAAACUUGUGCUAAUACCGAAUGUGCCCUUCGGGGGAAAGAUUUAUCGCCUUUCGAGCGGCCCACGUCUGAUUAGAUAGUUGGUGAGGUAAAGGCUCACCAAGGCUACGAUCAGUAGCUGGUCUGAGAGGCUGACCAGCCACAUUGGGACUUAGACACGGCCCAAACUCCUACGGGAGGCAGCAGUGGGGAAUCUUGCGCAAUGGGCGAAAGCCUGACGCAGCCAUGCCGCGUGGAUGAUGAAGGUCUUAGGAUUGUAAAAUUCUUUCACCGGGGACGAUAAUGACGGUACCCGGAGAAGAAGCCCCGGCUAACUUCGUGCCAGCCGCCGCCGUAAAAC
rnacentral:rRNA from 1 species